rnacentral:tRNA from 1 species
GCCAGGGUGGCAUAGUGGUUUGAGUGUUGGACUAGGACUCUGGAGACCAGAGUUUGAAUCUCAGCUGGGCCA